rnacentral:rRNA from 1 species
AUUGAACGCUGGCGGCGUGCUUAACACAUGCAAGUCGUGCGGUAACAGGCGUAGCAAUACGUGCUGACGAGCGGCGAACGGGUGCGUAAUACAUGGGAAUCUGCCUUUUAGUGGGGAAUAACCCGGCGAAAGCCGGGCUAAUGCCGCAUAAGAUCUUCGGAUGAAAGCGGGGAGUCGUAAGAACCUCGCGCUGAUAGAUGAGCCCACUGCCGGA